rnacentral:lncRNA from 1 species
AAUGUACAGCAAAGUAAGAACUAAAAAUAAGUCACUAUGACCAAAAUAGUCAAUUGACCCCCUAAUGAGUUAUUGCCCUUCAUAGUCAAUUUUUAACAAUUUUCUUAAAAUUUAAAGAUUUUCAAUAACAUUAUCCACAGAAAGUACUGUUAUUGAUAGAGAUAAUUGUAAGAAGCAAGAAUGUUUAGUAAAGUAAGAUCAACAAACACAUCACCAUCACCAAAACACAAUUUUGUCAUGAAUCCAUCU